GAUGAAGAACGCAGCGAAAUGCGAUAAGUAAUGUGAAUUGCAGAAUUCAGUGAAUCAUCGAAUCUUUGAACGCACAUUGCGCCCAUUAGCAUUCUAGUGGGCAUGCCUGUUCGAGCGUCAUUUCAACCCUUAAGCCCUGUUGCUUAGCGUUGGGAGCCUACAGUACUGUAGCUCCCCAAAGUUAGUGGCGGAGUCGGUUUCACACUCUAGACGUAGUAAUUUUUUCUCGUCUGUAGUUGAGCCGGUCCCCUGCCGUAAAACACCCAAUUUAUCAAGGUUGACCUCGGAUCAGGUAGGAAUACCCGCUGAACUUAAGCAUAUCAAUAGCGGAGGA
rnacentral:misc_RNA from 1 species